rnacentral:lncRNA from 1 species
UUUAUACUCAACUCCAUGUUACUGGGGGGGCUUCUGCUAGAUUCCACCAACAGGACGAACAAGAGGGAAACAAAGGCAAGAGGAAGAAGGGACUUGCUCCAUUCUAAUCAGCCUUAUUGCACCCCUCAGAGAUCACAGCAGCAGUCAGUGCUCUCCUCAGAGAUCUGAAUUCUACUUUCAUGCGGCCCCUCCCCUGAGCUCCUGAGAUAGCCAAUGUUUGAGCCACCUCCUCAGAAGUUUGAGCCUCAACACCGUGGGAUCCCUUCUUUGUGCUCCAGAGAUCCAGUAACAGCCAGCCAUCACCCUCUCUUCAUUCUUCAUAGGCCUGAACUAAGGUGUUCAGGGCCCUCCUUCAAGCUUUUAGGUUCUGAUGACUCCAACCACUUCUUUUGUUCCAUCCUUUCCUAGCUCUAGGAAUGGUAGCUGCUACCUGCAGUGAUUACCUGUUACCUUUUAUAAUUCCUUUUGACCAAUUUCCCAUAUUAAAAUAUUUCUCAAUAACUAAUGUGAUUUCUGUUUUCCUGACUGGAC